rnacentral:rRNA from 1 species
CAGCCGCCUCGGUAAUACGUAGGGUGCGAGCGUUAAUCGGAAUUACUGGGCGUAAAGCGUGCGCAGGCGGUUCGUUAAGACAGAUGUGAAAUCCCCGGGCUUAACCUGGGAACUGCAUUUGUGACUGGCGAGCUAGAGUAUGGCAGAGGGGGGUAGAAUUCCACGUGUAGCAGUGAAAUGCGUAGAGAUGUGGAGGAAUACCGAUGGCGAAGGCAGCCCCCUGGGCCAAUACUGACGCUCAUGCACGAAAGCGUGGGGAGCAAACAGGAUUAGAUACCCCCGUAGUCCCUGUCUCUUAUAC